rnacentral:rRNA from 1 species
GACGAACGCUGGCGGCGUGCCUAACACAUGCAAGUCGAACGGAAAGGCCCAGCUCGCUCGGUACUCGAGUUGCCAACGGGCGAGUAACUCGUGGGUGAACUGCCCUCCACUCUGGGAUAAGCCAGGUCAACUGGGUCUAAUACCUGAUAUGACCUACUGUCGCCUGGUGGUUGGAGGAAAGCUUUUGCGGUUUGGGAUGGGCGCGCGGGCUAUCAGCUUGUUGGUGGGGGAUUGGUCUACUAAGGCGACGACGGGUAGCCGACCCGGGAGGGGGAUCAGCCACCAUAGGCCUACGGGACGGACCAGAAGGCAACGGGAGGCAGCAGGCGAAAGUAUGACGGAACGGGGGCGAGCCAGAGACGACGGCGCCGCGUGAGUGAUGACGGCCUUCGGGGGAUGAACAUCUUUCACCGGAGACGAAGCGUGAGUGACGGUACCUAAAGAAGAAGCACCGGCCAACUACGUG